GACGAACGCUGGCGGCGUGCUUAACACAUGCAAGUCGAACGGAAAGGUCCUGCUUUUGUGGGGUGCUCGAGUGGCGAACGGGUGAGUAAAACGUGAGUAACCUGCCCUUGACUUUGGGAUAACUUCAGGAAACUGGGGCUAAUAUCGGAUAGGAGCUCCUGCUGCAUGGUGGGGGUUGGAAAGUUUCGGCGGUUGGGGAUGGACUCGCGGCUUAUCAGCUUGUUGGUGGGGUAGUGGCUUACCAAGGCUUUGACGGGUAGCCGGCCUGAGAGGGUGACCGGCCACAUUGGGACUGAGAUACGGCCCAGACUCCUACGGGAGGCAGCAGUGGGGAAUAUUGCACAAUGGGCGGAAGCCUGAUGCAGCAACGCCGCGUGCGGGAUGACGGCCUUCGGGUUGUAAACCGCUUUCGCCUGUGACGAAGCGUUAGUGACGGUAAUGGGUAAAGAAGCACCGGCUAACUACGUG
rnacentral:rRNA from 1 species